rnacentral:rRNA from 1 species
CUUGCUAAAAUAUAAGAGGUCCAGCCUGCCCAGUGACCCAGUUCAACGGCCGCGGUAUCCUAACCGUGCGAAGGUAGCGUAAUCACUUGUUCUUUAAAUGGGGACUAGUAUGAAUGGCAUCACGAGGGUUGAACUGUCUCCUUUUUCUAAUCAGUGAAACUAAUCUCCCCGUGAAGAAGCGGGAAUCAUUUUAUAAGACGAGAAGACCCUAUGGAGCUUAAAACAAAUUGACACAUGCUUACACCUACUUCAAUUCCUGAAUAAAUAUACAAAAUAUAGCAUCAUUGAUUAAUAGUUUUAGAUUGGGGUGAUCAUGGAGCAAAAAACAACCUCCACGACGAAAAGGAGUAUUCCCUGAGCCAAAAGCCACAACUUUAAGCACUAAAAAAUUAACGCAUCUUGACCCAAUUUUUUGAGCAACGAAC